rnacentral:misc_RNA from 1 species
GAGGGAGGGGCCAUUUUGUUGUGGUAUGUGAUCAACAAUAUCUUUCCUAGUAUCUGCUUUGAGUAUGCACCUACUUUGUGUGCAGUUUGACAUGUAAAUUUUGGCAUCUUAGUGAUGGAUCUUGAGAUAAAUCUAUCACAUGGAUAACCUUUGCCUUUAAUAAUUUAAUCAGGCUGUUAGACAGUCUAUUUUUACAUUACGGUAAUUGACAUUCAUAUGAGACCAGUUGUAUCUUGUGGGCAGAUGAGCAGUGCCGCUGGCAAGGUGCCUGCCCCAGGACAGGCAGUAUACUCUGCUUCUAAAUUUGCUCUAAAUGGUUAUUUUCAGUCCUUGCGUUCUGAGCUCUAUCAAAAAGGAAUUAAGGUGACCGUUGUUUGUCCUGGGCCAGUAGAAACUUCAAAUGGCUAUGGAGUGACAACCCCAGCGAGGAAGGGUUCUGAGAAACGUGUGUCGUCAGAAAGGUGUGCAGAAUUGACAAUAAUUGCAGCAACUCACGGAUUAAAAGAAGCUUGGAUAUCACACCAGGUAUUUGCUUUCCUGUUAGAAAUUUCUUAGCUAUAUUCCUUCGACUUUUAUUUAUAUUUAAUUCAGGUACUUCAAUAGGCAUGAUACAGUAUUUUGUUGUAUAAAUUCACCUAGGUGAUGAAUUUGUAGGAAUUCUAUUUUCUUUAUUUACUUCAUAAUAGAAUGCUGCGAAUUUUUAUGUUUUCUAGUAUAAAUUUGUAGCAUAUUCUAGAUAUGUGCAAAUAUUAAUAAUUUGAUCUUUCUUUCAGCCUGUACUAGCUGUUUUGUAUCUAGUACAAUACAUGCCAACCAUUGGCUACUGGUUCAUGGAUAAGGUAUCUUCGAACUUGAAAAUAAUGUGUUCCGUACAACAUGUCCUAUAUGUUUGUGGCCCAUUUUGUCUAAUUUUCAGUUGCAGCAUCUUGUUUUAUCAAGCCUGAUGCUAUUAAGUGCUUCUCAUUUCUUAUUACUUGCAUGUAUUUUGAGCUGUAAUUUAAUAGAAUUCAUGAUUGACUGACUUUAGAUUGGGGGGAAGCGAGUUGAAGUGGCUGCACAGAGAGGCAACACAUACUCGUGGAACUUACUGUUUGGAAAGAAGGAGGCCUAAAUUUCUUCUGAUGGGAAUUGGGUUCAUGCAGAGAUGCUUGUCAACAAAUGCAAGCCCAUCAAAACUCGUGUUUUGUAGUUACAGAACUCGUUCAAUGACACGAUGAUUAGCAUAUCUUAUUAUCUUUGAAAUCUUUAAAUUUGAUAAAAGUGCUGUUUAAAUCUCUUACUAUUUUUUAAGAUUUUAUGAAAAACAUUUUCUUUAAAA